GGCCGGGCCGCUCUGGCACCCCGCGGAGCGCACAGGUGCCUGUGGAGUGUGCGUUUUGUCUCCGACAGCAAAUUGCUGCAGCGAAACUGCAGCUGAAGGACAGCCGACAGCAUGUGGAUAGCGUUAAUAUCAGAGACUUGUACAAGCUGCAGGUCUAAGGCCCAAAAAGGCUGCUGAUUGUGCAGCUGAACCAACAGCAGAGGCAAAAAAAUGUGCAAACCCACCCGGCAAGCUGGAGUGCUUUCCGUCCAAAAUAGUCAACAGUUAAUUGCAAAUUUGGCAGCAUAAAACAAGAUAAUAUUGUUCAUAUUCUUGGCAAAUAAAAGACUUGAAACUUCA